GAGAAGAAAAGAAGAGAAUUGGUGUGAAGAAUGUGAGAGGUAUGAAGGGGUAUUUAUAGGCUAGCUCAUGCAAGAAUUAUGGAAAGAGAAUGUGGGAAGAAUUAUGG